rnacentral:rRNA from 1 species
CGGACUGUAGGCUGCAACUCGCCUACACGAAGUCGGAAUCGCUAGUAAUCGCGGAUCAGCAUGCCGCGGUGAAUACGUUCCCGGGCCUUGUACACACCGCCGUCACACCAUGGGAGUUUGUAACGCCCAAAGUCGGUGGCCUAACCUUUAUGGAGGGAGCCGCUAAGGCGGGACUGGUAACUGGGGUGAAGUCGUAACAAGGUAUC